rnacentral:tRNA from 1 species
GCCCCGGUAGCUCAGUAGGACAGAGCAACGGUUUCCUAAACCGUGGGUCGCGCGUUCGAAUCGCGCCCGGGGUACCA